UACGGAGGGGGCUAGCGUUGUUCGGAAUUACUGGGCGUAAAGCGCACGUAGGCGGCUUUUGUAAGUUAGAGGUGAAAGCCCAGGGCUUAACCCUGGAAUUGCCUUUAAGACUGCAUCGCUUGAAUUGUGGAGAGGUGAGUGGAAUUCCGAGUGUAGAGGUGAAAUUCGUAGAUAUUCGGAAGAACACCAGUGGCGAAGGCGACUCACUGGACACAUAUUGACGCUGAGGUGCGAAAGCGUGGGGAGCAAACAGG
rnacentral:rRNA from 1 species